rnacentral:miRNA from 1 species
UUGAUUUUAUGUUUUCUUUU